rnacentral:rRNA from 1 species
UACGAAGGGAGCUAGCGUUGUUCGGAAUCACUGGGCGUAAAGAGCUCGUAGGCGGUCUGUUGCGUCCGCUGUGAAAACUCGGGGCUUAACCCCGAGCCUGCAGUGGAUACGGGCAGACUAGAGGUAGGUAGGGGAGAAUGGAAUUCCCGGUGUAGCGGUGAAAUGCGCAGAUAUCGGGAGGAACACCGGUGGCGAAGGCGGUUCUCUGGGCCUUACCUGACGCUGAGGAGCGAAAGCGUGGGGAGCGAACAGG